UAUUUCCGAAUUUUUUUUUUUUAAUUAUCAAUAUAUUCCAUUUCACAUUUCUGCUUUCUUUUAUCCGACUUGCUUACCUAGUCUGGUUUUUUGUUUAGGCCUGAAGAGGGGAAAAAAUAGAACUUUCCGUGGUACUCGAACCUAUACAAAAAACGAAAAGCUGAGUCUAUUAUCUCAGGGACCUUCCUACACCCGAUCCUAGCGAAUUAAGCCCGCGUAGGAAAUACGGUCCGUUACACUGGUAAGUGCCCCAAUUAUCUUAAUAUUUACUUUAAUAAUUUUACUUAAUACUCCAAUCUUAGAUAAUUCUAGAUUUGUAAGAUUCAAUUUUUUUUUUGCUAAAGAAAAAAAAAACAAA
rnacentral:lncRNA from 1 species